GUGAGUGACAUGAAGGUCAACCUGGUCGUUUUCCUGACGCACAACUCCUUCUCGAUGGGGAAUAGUUCGUGCACAACCAUGCCUGUCAGCUCUUGGUCGGCCAAUGCCCUCCAGAAACCGGGUGGACCCGCACU
rnacentral:lncRNA from 1 species